rnacentral:rRNA from 1 species
GUGAGGAAUAUUGGUCAAUGGGCGGAAGCCUGAACCAGCCAAGUAGCGUGCAGGAUGACGGCCCUAUGGGUUGUAAACUGCUUUUAUACGGGGAUAAAGUGCGCCACGUGUGGAGCAUUGCAGGUACCGUAUGAAUAAGGACCGGCUAAUUCCGUGCCAGCAGCCGCGGUAAUACGGAAGGUCCGGGCGUUAUCCGGAUUUAUUGGGUUUAAAGGGAGCGCAGGCCGGAAGCAAAGCGUGCCGUGAAAUGUAGAUGCUCAACAUCUGAAUUGCGGCGCGAACUGGUUUUCUUGAGUGCAUACGAGGUAGGCGGAAUUUGUGGUGUAGCGGUGAAAUGCUUAGAUAUCACGAAGAACUCCGAUUGCGAAGGCAGCCUACCAGGAUGUAACUGACGCUAAAGCUCGAAAGUGCGGGUAUCGAACAGGAUUAGAAACCCCUGUAGUCC